rnacentral:rRNA from 1 species
UACGAAGUGGGCUAGCGUUGUUCGGAAUCACUGGGCGUAAAGGGCGCGUAGGCGGCCGAUCAAGUCGGGGGUGAAAGCCUGUGGCUCAACCACAGAAUUGCCUUCGAUACUGUUUGGCUUGAGACCGGAAGAGGUAAGUGGAACUGCGAGUGUAGAGGUGAAAUUCGUAGAUAUUCGCAAGAACACCAGUGGCGAAGGCGGCUUACUGGUCCGGUUCUGACGCUGAGGCGCGAAAGCGUGGGGAGCAAACAGG